CCUUUGACGUUAGCGGCGGACGGGUGAGUAACACGUGGGUAACCUACCUAUAAGACUGGGAUAACUUCGGGAAACCGGAGCUAAUACCGGAUAAUAUUUCGAACCGCAUGGUUCGAUAGUGAAAGAUGGUUUUGCUAUCACUUAUAGAUGGACCCNCGCCGUAUUAGCUAGUUGGUAAGGUAACGGCUUACCAAGGCGACGAUACGUAGCCGACCUGAGAGGGUGAUCGGCCACACUGGUAACUGAGACACGGUCCAGACUCCUACGGGAGGCAGCAGCC
rnacentral:rRNA from 1 species